ensembl:lncRNA
GACAAAUCAAUGACUCGAGAAUGAAUGGGGAAAAUAAGAGGGAAUCCGGAAUGCUAAACAUGGCGGAUUUGUAACUUGAAUUGUUGCAAUAGUCAUAGCCGGGCCAGCAAAAAUUGGUGCAUGCGCAGUGAGAAAGUCAAGAAUAAAGUAUUUUCUUAGCUUUUAUUUGAGCAGUUGAGGAAACAACGCGCACACUGUUUAUGCCAGAUUUAAACGUGGAUUCAUGUGAUGUACUGUGUGUGUUUAAUGUCUGUUUGAGUUAUGGUUCUCUCCUCAUUCAUUGAGGAGAAUGGUGGAGGGUAUGUGAUGUUGUGAGGCUGUUUUUUCCUCCGAAGGCCCUGGGAACCUCGUCAGGUAUACAUGGCAUCAUGGACUCAAUCAAAAUCUGGCCGCCUCUGCCGAGAAAUUAAAACUGGAUCAUGGUCGGAUCUUCCAUCAAGACAAUGGUCAAAAAACAUCCCCAUGAUAAGAUCCACACAAUUAGAUUACGCAACAGAUUAACACAAACAUGGUUGGCUCAGUCCCCUGACCAAAACCCCAUAGAAAACCUGUGGGAUGAGCUAAAGAGGAGACGCAGUGCUGUUUUAUUGGCAAAGGGAGGUUGUGCAAACUAUUAAAUGCAGGGGUGCCAGUAAUUGUGAGUAACAUCAAAUAUCAGUAACAUCUAGCCUAAAAUGUGGUGUAAGUGUUUGGGUGUAUACACUCACUAUGAGUAACAUCUAGCCUACAGCCAUCCUAAUUUGGGAACUUUUUGUUUUUUAUCUUGACAAGCAUAGUAUUUCUUGUUGGUGUUCUUUCUAAUAUUGAUCACUUGUGCUCUGAGUCAUGCCCAUCAUAAUCAUCUCAUGCAUCUAAAAAAUGCUGGGUUAAAUAACAACCCAAAGUAGAGCAAGAGUAUUUUUCUUGUCAUUUACCUUUAAUUCCUGAACACAAGCAGGACAAUUACACUCGCUUAAAAUUCAUAGAUGCAUUAUUAUUUAUCAUCUCAUCAUAUAUCAUCUUAUGUCCACAUGACUGUUCUAACUAAAUAGUAUCUAUGAUAUCAUCAAAGACCAGGUCUGAAGAGUGAUAUUGAACAGGUUUUGAAUCGAUACUGCCAUCAGGAUUUUCUCUGUCUCCAACAAAACAGUAGAAAGAUAUCAGUUUCUGUAGCAGCAGAAUGUGUUAGGAAUGUGCUCUCCACUAAACAUUGUCAUUGUCAUUUGAAAUUAUCAGUUAUGGUAUCCAACACGAUUCUUCCUUCCAGGCCAGCCAGGCUGGAUGGGUGGGUUUUUAAGGCCAACA